rnacentral:lncRNA from 1 species
CGGCUGGAAAUCAGAAAAGGAAAAGGAAGGAUCUUCAGUUGGCAUCGCCUGCAUCAGCGCUGGAGUCUCUUGCAACCCAGUUCGUGGAUUCAAAUUGCUAGAGCCGUGCGAUUUCCAGGAGCCUCUACUGUUUCGUUUAGCAGCCUAGGUGUUUUCAGGUAGUCAUGGAUCCUUUUCAAUCUUAGUUUGACAAAAUUUUCUUCCUUUCCUAAGUGUUGUCGAUGCUUAAGGACGAGGACUGUAAAUCAUCCUUCUCUUUCUUUAGUCGUCGAAGUUGUGACCUGUUUGUCGUUCUUGUUUUUGUUUGUCGCUUGACUGAGGAUGCCAUG